GCCUCGGUAGCGCUGUAGGCAGCGCGUCAGUCUCAUAAUCAAACAAGGUAUGUUGAGGGAUCUGGAGGUCGUGAGUUCGAUCCUCACCUGGGGCA
rnacentral:tRNA from 1 species